rnacentral:rRNA from 1 species
AUUGAACGCUGGCGGCAUGCUUUACACAUGCAAGUCGAACGGUAACAGGCCGCAAGGUGCUGACGAGUGGCGAACGGGUGAGUAAUGCAUCGGAACGUGCCCAGUCGUGGGGGAUAACGCAGCGAAAGCUGCGCUAAUACCGCAUACGAUCUCUGGAUGAAAGCGGGGGACCGAAAGGCCUCGCGCGAUUGGAGCGGCCGAUGUCAGAUUAGGUAGUUGGUGGGGUAAAGGCCCACCAAGCCAACGAUCUGUAGCUGGUCUGAGAGGACGACCAGCCACACUGGGACUGAGACACGGCCCAGACUCCUACGGGAGGCAGCAGUGGGGAAUUUUGGACAAUGGGCGCAAGCCUGACCCAGCAAUGCCGCGUGCAGGAAGAAGGCCUUCGGGUUGUAAACUGCUUUUGUACGGAACGAAACGGUCCGGGUUAAUACCCUGGGCUAAUGACGGUACCGUAAGAAUAAGCACCGGCUAACUACGUGCCAGCCGCCGCGGUAA